UACGGAGGGUGCAAGCGUUAUCCGGAUUCACUGGGUUUAAAGGGUGCGUAGGUGGUCAGGUAAGUCAGUGGUGAAAUCUUUGGGCUUAACCCGAAAACUGCCAUUGAUACUAUUGAUCUUGAAUACAGUUGAGGUGGGCGGAAUGUGUCGUGUAGCGGUGAAAUGCUUAGAUAUGACACAGAACACCGAUUGCGAAGGCAGCUCGCUAAACUGUGAUUGACGCUGAGGCACGAAAGCGUGGGGAUCAAACAGG
rnacentral:rRNA from 1 species